AAAACUCUAUUUGUUUUGAGGAGGAACUACUCCUCAGUUUUAUGGAGCCAAACUUUUUCCUAAUAUUAAUGGAGUUCAUAUAUGACUCAUUUGUUUUGUGUGAUCACCAUUUGGUUAAUGAAUUGUGCACAAAAUUUAAUAGGAUACGGAUCAUCUGCUAUGAUUUUAGUCCUCUAAUAGGAUGGAUCCUACUUUGGAGCACAUGUGGUAUUGGUAGUUCCUACUCGCAUUUACAAAUACAUAUUGGUUGGUCCAUUAAAAUGCAAAUAUCACCUCUCAUAUCAUUAUGCGAACAUUGGGAACAAGAGUAGUGUUUCCACCGUUGACAAGGGAUUGGAAGAUCUAGCUCGACGGAAAAAUAAGGAGUAAAACUUAUAGAAGCAUGCAUGCCGUGUAUGUAUUGUUGUUAUCAUGGCGAUACUAAUUUGGCAAUUAAUUUUCUAAUGGGUGAAUUAAAAAAACAUUUUUAAUCUAUAUAUGUAAAGUUAAAUAUCCUUAUGGUUAAAUUUUAAAAUAACCCAUUUAAGAAAAAUUUCAAAACUCAAGUAUUAAUUCAUUUUGAAGGGACAGAUACAUUUAUUUAAAAAAUAAUAAUGAAAAGGAGAUAAGAAUUUAUGACCAACAAGAAUUCUAUAUAGAUUACUGUUGAGGCCCAAAAUUAAUGUCAUGAGAAGUCCAAGGAUAUUUAAAGCCCAAUAUACAAUAUAAUAUUGGCUACGCGUUAAUCUAAAUUGUAUUUUGGGAAGUUAUUCAUUAAAUAAAUAUAGAAAUAUUGUACAUGUCAUGCCAAGCAAAAUACAUUUUCCUAUGCUAAACCACCUGACAAGCUUAAGUGGACCCAAACUACAUAUAUGUAUGGGGAUUUCUGAGUGGGUUGUGGUAUGGAUAGUUAUAAGUGUUCAUAAAACCCGUUGAAGGACCAGACAAUGGAAGUUUUAGAGCUGCUUGGGAGUACAAAACUCAGACCCACUUUCCUGAGCCUAAUUACAUGGGUAAGUAGAGACAGAACUCCCAGCCUCUUCCAAAACUCAAACCCACUUUACUGCACACUCAUGGAAAAACCAACUGUUGAGCACUGUACAUCCCUCCUUGCAAUACACACAACGAAACCAGAAGAAGAACGGCAUGAGGCAAGCUCAUCCCCCAACUGCCGUAAACACACAAAGCCCAAGCCUUCCUCCAUUCUCUUCUUUCAUAACACCACUCCAAGCCCUGAACAUCACACGGAAAACCAUCCCAAAACAUCCCAACUCCCGAAAACACCACAUGCAUCUCACCUUCAACAUAUCUUAUUCCAAUCCAAGCAGCAAAAGCACUCUCUCUUACUAAAGCCUUCUACCUUUGAAGCAUGAGUAUAUAGAUAUAUAAAAAGGUAGAAGAGUACAGUAUUUGUACUGUAUUGACCCUUUGUUUGUCCAGGCGGUCUGAUAGAUGUUUUGAUAUGUAAGAUAACGAUCCAGAUUGAGCGCUAACUUAUCCAGGGUCGAUGAGGCCAACAAAGUUUACGAUAUUUGCCAUUUUUAAAUAGUCAAAUAGGUACCUAAAAAUAUGAAAUUCAAUUAAAUGAAAUUUUAAUUUAAAAGAAAGGGAAUUGUAAAAAAAUUGGAUGUUUAGAAUUACCUUAUGUAUACUGCAAUCACUGUGGAUCUGAUCUCAAUCAUGGAUGCAAGCUAUAAAAUAUCUUCAUACAAGAUGAAGGUAUCAUGCUCAUACCCAAACACUUCCCCUGGAAUGUUAACUCUCACGGUCUCGUUCGAAGGCAACUUGGUUUGGAAAAAUUGGCAUAGGGCUAAUAGAGGAGACAGCAAAUCCAGCUUUGAGAAAUCCUGAUUCAAUAAAUAAAGAAAGAACUAUAAGAUAGCUUGCAAAAAAGUAAAAUAAAUGACUCUAACUAAACCAUCCAAACCGUCGUGGUAUUAAAAUAUUAACGACGGUGAUUUGAAAAUACUGACGUAGUAAAGAAUCGAAACGACGGUAAAAAUAAACCGCCUUUGUGUCAACGUUCUAACGUCGCAAAACUAGAAAAAGGUCGUCUAGAAUAAAAUGCAGUGAAGAUGGCUUGUAAAACAAGUAAAACAAAUGACGCUGUUUUGGUUAUUGUUAAUACUUAGAAAGGCAGACAUUUGUAAGCUGGUAGAGAAAAGGAUCACAUACCACCAAGCUUGUUACGGCUGUUCUUUAUACAUAUUCUGUUUAUCUGUUCUAUUUGUACUUGUGAUGCAGGGCUUUUUGUUUCUGUUCCUCUUGUCACAAAGAAUUUUUAUUUUAUUUUUGUUUAAGAUAUUAUGUUAUUAUGUUCUUUAAGACAACUUACGCGGCUACGGUGUUCAUUGUUGUCAAGAAAAAUUAAUGGUCAUGACCGUUAGAAGUCAGACCAUUGAAAUCCAUCCUUUUUAUUUAUUUAUUUAUAUUUAUAAAUGUGGUCACAAUUUUUUUUUUUUUUAUAACACAAAGGCGAUAGUGUUUUAUUAAUUAAUGAGGAGAAAAGGGUAACAAGUACAAAAAAAUCAGACAAAGACCUAGCGGAUUAGGCGAGUACUCUACACCAAUUCAUGUUUUCACAAGCACUUUUUAAAUGUUUUCACAAUCUUAUCAGAAAUCUUGUCAUAUAUGGAAUAUUGUCUCUAAAUAGUAAUUUAAUUAAAUUAAACAAUACAUAGUUGUGGAAUGUAUGAGUGUUGUACCAUAGUUUUUCUCAAAAUAAUAAAAUAUGAAGGAUCAUAAAACUUAGCCUUAUAUGGUUGGAGAUGGAAAAAUUUAGCCAUGCACUAUUCUUUAAAAAAUUAAUAUUUUGGACGGCUAAAUUUUUAGCCCUGGACUACAUUUGGCCCUAUGACUGGAGAUGGCCUUAGAAUCCAUACACAAGUUUAACAUACACAUAUCCUUUUCACUUAAGUUUAACAUACAUGCUAAUGGGGGCUAACUCAGUGGAAAAUGACAUUGAUUUACAGACUAGAGGUCUUAGGUUCGAACCCCCAUAGCAUCUUAGUUGUGUGUGUAAGUUUAAACCAACGCUUGUAUUAAAAAAAAAAAAAUUUAAAAUACACAACCUAUUGUUGAUGAAAAAUUAGAAUCCAUUAAAAGGUCAUGUAUUAAAAGAAGUACCAUUUCUAUAAAAUAAUAAUAAUAAUAAUAAUUUAAUUCUUUUCAGUUAAAUUUUCCAAAAAUUAUAGUAGUUUUCUCUAUCACAUACCUAAGUCAAAAGUAAUGGAUAAUUUGAAUAUCUUUAUUAAGUAAAGCCCAAACAUAUCUUAGAAAUCGACAGUACACACUCAUUAUUUGAAUUUUGAAACACGGACUUAUCAAACCCAGUAAGGCCCUCCCAUAAGAAGCAAAACAAGCUCUAGUUCUUUCUUCUUUCUCAUACGUACAAUCCGGACUCAGGCAUGGUGGUGCCGGAUCAAUGAAAUAAAAGCAACACUAUCUUUCAUGACUUUUCCAACAUGUGUGAAGCCAUCUUCUUUUUUGUAGACGAGAUCCACCAUUCUUGUUAAAUUAAGAACAAGUACAAGGACAGGCAUUGGCACAGAGGUUGGCCUGAGGAACUCCUCGUUGAUAUCUUUCCACGAAUCCACAAUCUGUUUGUGGAACUCCUCUCUGCAGCUUAACUUAUAAAUGGGAUUCCCUAAAGUAUCUCGAAUUUCCAAAUUCCAAUUCAAACUCUUCACCACCAUCUCCAAAUACCUCCACCUCAAACCUUGAACCGCAGAUUUUCGGCUGUGUUGUAUUCGUACACUUACAUGAUCACCAACGCAACAAAUUGGAUCCGAGUGUAGAAAAGUGUGUUUUCAUUGGCUAUGCCCCAUAUCAGAAAGGUUAUCGAUGUUAUCACCCUCCAAGUCAGAAGGUCUAUACCUCCAUGAAUGUAGUGUUCUAGGAACACGAUAUAUAUUUAUCAGAAGCACAUGAGGAGAAUCUAGACCCAAAUACCCUGAAUUUUCUGGACUUUUUAACAACGGAAGAGACUCAGCAUCAAAGCAAUCGGUUGCCUUUCCAAAACGACCUGUCGCCUCCCUUUGAUAGUGCAAAAGAGGCGUCUCUACCUCAAAGUGACCGGUCGCCUCUCCCACACAACUGGUCGGCCCCCUAUAUUCCUUCACAAGCGGAGCCACUAGUCAAAACAACCGGUUGCUUUGCCCAAACAAUUAUCGAUUGGUAUGCUCUAUGUAUGUUAUUGUUUGGUAUAAUUCAUAUAUGACAGUUGACUAGUCAUAAGAGUAUUUGGUUAAGAUCUAGAGUGUGUGAAAUUUGUUGCGUUCUUGGUUGAAUAUCUUUUAAGUUUACCCCUCGUCACCUAAGUACCAAUUUCAAAACCAUAUGUAUAUUUUAGCAUAUUUUGCAUUUGGACCAGUAGCCACAUAACAUGAAGAGAAAUUAAUGGAGGAACAUCCACAACGAAAAGCAUCAAUUAAUUUAUUGAAUCUGAGGGGUACAGUUGUUUCUUCCCAACUUUUUGAACAAGAAUUGCAUAUUAAUUCAGUUAUGUAAAAGGUUGCAGGUUGGUGAGUCUGUGUAACGGUGGACAAGAUAUAAUGGGUGAAAAGUACGUAGAUUAUUCAUCAAUUGGUAAGAGGAAAUAUUUAAGCCAAUCAACUCAUCAAAUGUUAUUUUAUUCUACUAUUUUAUACUUAGGACACCUCAUCAACUCAUAUAUAGCAGCCCUUGAUACAUUAAAAAAAAAAAACAAAUAAAAAUACCACUUCAGCAGGCAUGGGUUAGGCCGGUUAACAGUGAGUCUGUCCCUUUACACUUAAGUUUGAAUUCUCCUUUUAUAAUUUAGAUUAAUUUAGAGUACUUUAAACUAUUACUUAUAUAUUUAUAUAUAUUAAAAAAAAUGUCAUUUGAUUCAGUUUUUAUACAUAAAAUAAAAUUAUGGACUCAUAGCAGCCCUUGGUACAUUAAAAAAAAGAUUAAACAAAAAAACAGCAGCCCACUAAUAGACGUUCCACUAUAAAUAGCACAAUACAACACCUCUUCAACUCAUAGCAGCUCUUGAUACAUUCAAUUAAGAGCACAUUGAUCAUUUCCUCGCACUUAGGAAUAAAAUGUCUGCUCAAGUUUUAGCUGCAUCCCAAGCUCAAAGCCCAAAUGCGAUUCCUGAUCAUUUUAAGCGAUGUUCAGCUAAUUUCUCUCCCAGUACUUAGGGCGAUUAUUUUCUGUCAUAUGCUUCUGUGGUAGGAAAUUAAUUAAUCCUAACAAUUAUUUAUGGGCUAAUAAUACUCAUCAUGUGCUAUAGCUGCGUCGUAUAUUUUGAAUAUUUUAUUAUUAUAAAUUAAUUUUGAUAACUUCCAUGCACCAUGAAUGAAGGUCAUACUUUCCUUAAUAUCCUUUUCAAUUUGUUCGUGUAGGAAACAGAUAUCAAAGCAGAGCAAGAUGUCCAAGAACUGAAGGAAAAAGUGAAGGGGAUGAUAAUGGCUCCAAUGCUUAAAAAUCCAUCAAAAAAAUUGGAGUUAAUUGAUGAGAUUCAGCGGUCUGGUGUCUCCCUCCAUUUCGAAAAUGAGGUUGAGGAAGUUUUGCAACAAAUUCACAAGAACUCUUACGGCGGUGAUGAAGAAAAUGAUUUUGACCUUUUCACAAUUGCUCUCCGUUUCCGGUUGCUUAGACAGCAAGGUUACAAGGUUUCAUGCGGUUAGUCCUCUCUCUCUCCCCGCGCUCAUAUGUUUUGUUUUAUAAUUCUAGAUUAAUUAAUUUUCUUCUUCUAUAAUUUUCUUCUUCUAUAUCUCUCUCUCCUCGCUCACAUGUUUUGUUUUAUCAUUCUAGAUUAAUUAAUUUUCUUCUUCUAAGCUAGCAGACAUUUUCAACAAGUUCAAGGACGAUGACGGGAAAUUUAAGGAAACACUUGUGGAUGAUGUAGUAGGACUGUUGAGCUUGUACGAAGCCACACAUCUUAGGAUGCAUGGAGAGGAUUUACUGGAUGAGGCGCUCACCUUCACCACAACUCAUCUUGAGUCAGUGGAAGCACACCGUUUAAGCCCCUUGCUUGCAAAACAAGUAACCCAUGCCUUGUAUCAACCAUUCUGGAAGGGCUGCCAAAGGCUAGAAGCAAGGCGUUACUUGGCUAUCUUUGAGGAGGAACCUCAUCCAGCAAAUGAAACUCUCCUAACUUUGGUAAAGUUGGAUAUAAACCUAGUGCAGCAAGUCCAUCAGAAAGAACUAAGUGAAAUUUCAAGGUUAAUUAAUAUACAUACAUAUAUAUUAGUGUUCAUCAGUAUACUAAUUAAGUUAUUAUUAUGUAAUUAAAUGAUAAAUUCAGGUGGUGGAAGGAUUUGGACUUUGUAAACAAGCUUCCUUUUGCAAGAGACAGAGUAGUUGAGUGCUACUUUGGGGCUCUGGGAACCUAUUUUGAGCCCCAAUAUUGCUUUGCUAGGACAUCAUUAAGCAAAGUUUUUGCUGUGACAGAAGCUAUUGAUGACAUUUAUGAUGUGUAUGGCACACAAGAGUAGCUAGAGCUCUUUACUGAAGCUGUUGAAAGGUGUAUUGAAAUCGAAACCCAAUUAAUUUAUAAGUUGUUUAGAUUAGUCAUUUAUCCUUCUCUAAAUACUGAAUAAGUCAUCACUAUAUCCAUCGGCGGUCCUGAGAAAUUGAGGGCCUUGUGUGAAACUUAAGCCCUCACAUAAUCUAAUAUAAAAAUACUAAAUUUUUUUUUGCCAUAACAUAAUGUUAUAAAACUAUUUUUUUAUAACUAAAAUUUAUCAUCAAUUAGCAUGUAAUAACAAAUACAAAUCAAUAAAUUCAUAAACUUUUUAAUGUUUUUCUUUGAUAAAAUUAAAUAUUAGUACAUUUGAUAAAAUAAAAAAAAAAGAGUUCAAGAGAAAGAAGAAUGAAUGAAUAUUAUAUCCAGUAGUCAAUUAUCCUUCUCUAAUUACUGAUUAAGUCAUCACUAGUCUAUAUCUUAUUAUUAACUUAUUUUAAUCAUCAGGUGGGACAUCUCAGCUUUGGACCAACUGCCGGAGAAUAUGAAAGUUUGUUAUGGAGCAAUGUUGGAUGUAUACACUGAAAUCGAAGAAAAGCUUGGAAAAGAGGGAAUUUAUAUCGCAUCCACUAUGCGAGAGAAGCACUAAGCCUCAUUAAUAUUUUUUAGAUUACAGAGUUGCAAGACCAUAAAUUAGUAUUCUAGUUAAUUUCCAAGUUUAUAUAUGCACAAAUAGUAGUUGAUAUCUUACAUUUCUUUGGGUCGGGCUUCAGACCUAUCUAGACAGAUUUGAGUGCGUGCUUGACUCAGUCUGAUCCAAAUAAAAAAAAAUGCCCGGGAAUGUAAGUUUUUUUUUUUUACUUUUUGGGUUGGAUGCUCUUAAUUCUAAUAAAAUAUAAAUUCUCAUGAUAUUAUUGCAUAGAAAGUAAUUAGAGAUCAUAUCUUGAUUUCGUAGAUGAAAUGAAUGGCUCCACCAGAAAUACACACAAUGGAUGAAUAUAUGGCAGUAGCACUUGGUACAUCCUACAUGAUGCUAUCAACCACGUCCUUCAUUGGAAUGGGAGAUAUUGUCACAAAAGAGUCCUUGGAUUGGGUUCUCAGUGACCCUAAGAUUGUGAACUCUUUAUCAAUACUUGGCAGACUCAUGGAUCACAUGAAGUCCCACAAGGUACAUAUUAACAUAAAUGCAACCUUUUCGUUUUUAUUUAUUUCCCCAUACCCCCUUUUAACCCUAAAUUCAUGUCUAUAUUGACGUAGUUUGAGCAAAAGAGAGGACAUAUUGCCUCAGCUGUGGAAUGCUACAUGAAAGAGUAUGGUGCCACAGAAGAAGAAACGAUAAUCGAACUCCAAAAACAAGUAAAUAAGGCAUGGAAGGACAUAAAUGAAGAGUGGAUCAACCUCAUCACCAUCCCUAUGCCACUACGAUUGAGAAUUCUGAAUUUUGCACGUACCAAUUGUAAUGACCCGGUCCUAAAUAAAUGUUUAAUUAUUAAUUAAACAUAAUAAAAGACCAUUUUGCCCCUAGAAUAUUUUAUUAGGUUUAAAUUGAAUUUUUGACCGGGGAGAAAUUUAGGAAUUUCGACUGUACCUUUGCAUAUAGCACAGUGAGAUGAGUUCAUAGACACGUAGCGGGCUCGAAUCGGAGUUGUAACAAGAGAGAUACGAUCAAAAUACCCUCAGUGGCACAAUCGUAAAUAUUGCAAAAAGGGUUUGAUAAAAUCUGGUUUCUCUCUCUCUUGAUAAAAUCUGGUUUCUCUCUCUCUCUCUCUCUCUCUCUCUCUCUCUCUCUCCUCCGCGCACUCUCUCUCUCCCCGAUAGCAGCCCCCUCUCUCUUUCUCUCUCUCUUCGAUUCUCUCAGCUCCGGCCACGGCAAGGGCCAGCACUGGUCCCAUUUGCUUCGUCUCGAUGCCACGGUCACAACCCGCCCCUUUUCUCGGACGGAGAGCUCGAGAUUUGCCGGCGAUAUCGACUGGUUUCUCUGGUUGUUCACGGCGUCGCUACGGCCAAUUCCGACAGCCAACUCCAGCAACCGAGGUACGAUUUCUCACCUAUUUUUCACGCUCUAGCUGCCUGUUGUGUAGGAAUUGCACGAUAUUCAUGUUUAGAAACUUGAUUUAGAAUUUAGGUUUUGGCCGAAUUUUCAAAGUGAAAUUUCAGCCACUUCCGUUGGUUUUUCAGGGUAUGUCCAAGAACAUAAAUGGUUCCAAAUAUGGUGUUACACCUAGGGUAGGACUCUUGAGCCGUGAUUCUGAGUUUUUCCGACAGUGGGUUAUCACUUUGGACACCCAUGUGCUGCCGGUGCGUGGGUACUGUAGAAAAGGGGCAUUGUGUCCCGAUGCGAUCCCUUUGUUGUCUCGAGGGCAUAGGUAUGAGUGAAUUUCAAUUUGGAUACCGUUUGAGUCUCGAACGGAUAUCGCAUAUUGUGCGUUAUCCGGGUUCAAUAGGUUUGAACUGUUGGAUAGUCCUGAAUUUAUAAUAUGUUAAUCUAGGCAUUUCAAGGAUUGUGUAGGAAUUCACGGAUCGUGAAUCGGAUCCCUGGAUGUUCCGAUUUAAUAACUUAAAGUUUAUAUUUUACAAUAACCGUCCGAUUAUGCGAUCGCGAGCGAUCCAACCGUUCGAUCAAGACCAAAGUUGUGGGACUUGUAUACUAAACCUUGUGGAACCUAUAGGAACUUUCAGAUCGGAAUUUGGAGGUCGUGGGCUCCGUUGACCCGUUUGACCAAGUAUGGGGUAGUUUGACCCUUGGUUGACCGUGAGUCUUCCAGGAUAGUUUCAUCUUCCUAGGAGGACUAAAAUGACCUUAGAGACAUGUCUUGAUCGCUAGUUGAGUUAUGUUGAUUAUGAGGGAUUAGGAUAUAAAUUUUAUUAUUUUAAAUUUGGAGAUUAUGGGAUGCUAUAUUGUGGUUGAGGUUUAUGCUAUUUUGGAAAUUAAUACAUACAUGUAUAUAUAUUAUAAAGAUAUAAAGAUGUUUGAUUUCACUAUAAGUACCAUCCUGCGAUUUUGAGGUCUCGCAUGGCGUAAGAUUUUCCGACGUUGAGACACACCCCAUACGUGGCUUUGGAUGUUCUGGCGUAUAGGGAGAUUUUGUGAUUGUAAGGUCCCACGUGACAUAGGAUUUUUCGGCGUGAGGACAAACCCCAUACGUAGCGUUGGAUGUUCCGACGUAUGGGGAGAUGAUAUGAUUGUUAGGUCACACGUGGCGUAGGAUUUUCUGAUAUGCUGACAGACCCCAUACGUGGCGUUGGAUGUUUCGGCGUAUAAGGAGAUUUUAUGAUUGUUAGGUCUCACGUGGCAUAGAAUUUUCCGACGUUGAGACAGACCCCAUACGUGGCGUUGGAUGUUCCGGCAUGGAGAUUUUGUGAUUGUUAGGUCCCACGUGGCGUAGGAUUUUCCAACGUGAGGACAGACCCCAUACGUGGCGUUGGAUGUUCCGACAUAUGGGGAGAUGAUAUGAUUGUUUGGUCACACGUGGCGUAGGAUUUUAUGGCGUGCUGACAGACCCCAUACGUGGCUUUGGAUGUUCUGGCGUUUAGGGAAAUUAUGUGAUUAUUAGGUCUCACGUGGCGUAGGAUUUUCCGGCGUAUGGGGAGAUUUUGUGAUUGUUAGGUCUCACGUGACGUAGAAUUUUUCGGCGUGAGGACAAACCCCAUACUUGGCGUUGAAUGUUCCGACGUAUGAGGAGAUGAUAUGAUUGUUAGGUCACACGUGACAUAGGAUUUUUUGGUGUGCUGACAGACCUCAUACGUGGCUCUGGAUGUUCCGGUGUAUGGGGAGAUUAUGUGAUUAUUAGGUCUCACGCGUGUCGUGAGAUUCUUCUGGCGUGUGAGACAGGCCCCAUACGUUGCGUUGGAUUUUUCCGGCGUAUGAGGAGAUUAUGUGAUCAUUAUGGAGAUGAAUGAAGAAUUGUGGUACUGCAUUGGAAAGAACUACGUGUGGCUUGAUCCCUUGGUGAGGGUAUGUAGGCAGCCUAGGAUAGUGCCUAGGUGCAGCCGCAGACUAAAUAUUAUUUUUGAGAUUGGUUCUGACCUUGUCAUUGGUCCUGAAAUUCGAUUGAAAACUAGAUGACGUAAAGUGUAUUUAGGCAUUCAUAUUUAUGUUUGAAAUUAUUACUUGCCUUGGUUAAGGUAUUAGUUGACUUAAGAGCUCUGUUGGUAGUUUAGUUUCAGAUUAUUUGAAGGCCGGAGACCGAUUAUGUGAAUUACAUGGAAUUAUCUUGUGCAUGCUGCCAGUUGUGGAUAUUAAAUGUGUUUUGUGCAGGUUGAAAUUUUUGGGAUUGUUCAAAUUACAGGGGAAACUUAGCCAAAAUUUCGGCAGAAAGUCUCGUGCCUUUAUUCCGUUUUUGAAUAAGGAGGCUAUAGUUUUAGUAAGUGGGCCCGGCAUCGGGGUGAUGUCGGAAUUUUCACAGGAUUCGUCUUGAGUUUUGAGAAAUUCGGGGCAGGUCCUGUCAUCAAUGAACUUAUGUACAAGCAUGAAGAUGGCUUUACUCAUGCUGGAGUUGUACUUAAGGAUCUUCUGGUGUCUCUGUUUGUCAACCCUGUGCCCAUAUAGGCCUAAAAUCAAAUUUGGUCUUCUUGUCUUUGCUAUAAAGAAUAAGGUCUCCACAAGUCAUGUCUUUGCUUUUUGGUUUUUAAAAAUAGUAAUUUGGUUUGUUUUGGGUCAUUUGUAGUCGUGGGCAUUACUCAGAAUAAGACUACACUAUUUGUACUGUACUGACCUUUUGUUUGUCAGCCCAUUUAGUACUUUAGAUUUUAUGUGUCAUAUAGAUUAGUUUGCAAUUGAUGUUCUGAAUAAAACAAAGUCGGGUUUGAGUCCAUAUUGUAUCAUUCAAUAGUUAUAUUUUUACAUUUCUACAUUUCUUUUUUUAUUGUUAACAAUAGGAAAAAAAAAACAAAAAAACAUGUCAAAAAACAAAAAAAGGAAACAUGUCAAAAAACAAGCUUUCUUCAAUAUCAAGCAAAAAAAUUUGUAGUGUAUGUUUUCACCCACUCAAAACAAAACAAAAAAAGUUCAUGUCUUCUUCUUUCUCUUCUAUUUUCUCAAAUUGAAACAUUAAAACUUUUAUGAAUUGGAUUUAUGAUUGCCAUUGCAUGCUAAUAGAUAAUGAAUUUUAGUUAUUAAAAAAAUUUAUAAUGGUAUUACCUCAUGGUAAAUUUUUUUAUAAAUAUUUUCAUAUUACAUUAUGUGAGGACUCUCGUUUAAGUUUUGCUCAAGGCCCUCAAAAUCUCAAGGUCGGCCCUGCUCUUUAUGCCCCUACAAUACAAACUUUUAUGAGCUGGACCAAAAUACAUGAGUUCCUCCGUAUACAUGUGUUACGUACGCAUAGCCCAAUCCACUUUUUAACUCCAUAGCCUAAAAGCCGAACUUCUUUUUUAGAAGUAAUUUUUGUACGCUCCGAGUACACCAUACAUGUGACAUGUGAAAAUAUUCUCUAAUACACUUGUAUUAGAUGGUACACGAGUCAACUUGUGUACACAGAAGAACAUAAAAAAUUUUCUCCUUUCUUACUAUGUAAGAAAUAAAUUAAUAUAUAAAUAACCGAAACAUAGAUAUUGGCAUAUUUGUGCAGCACAUCCUUCAACAAUCAGGAAAAAGAAAAAUAAAUAAGUAUCAAAUUAAAGAUUAACGACCUUUUCAAGUAGCAAAUAAAUGCAUUUUAUACUAAAAAAUCCUUUGUAAUUUAAACUAUUACUUAUAUUAAUAAAAAUAUACAAUUAAAUGCAUAUAUAAAUUAUUAAAGAAAUAAAUAUAUAGAUGGAUCAAUAUACAUGCACACAUUCAUAUAUGUCAAGUGAUCUUUAUUGUGUGUAUAUAUAUAUAUAUAUUUAUUUAUUUAUUUCUAUGCGUAGUCGCACAUUCCAUUGCCACAAGAAGUGCCUUCCUUGCAGUGGUUGGUGCACCUGCCACAGUUUUGAUUGUGAGACAUUGGAUUCACACAAUGAGCGUUGCGGCAUAUCUCUGAGCUACUGGCCCUGCGCUGCCUUCAGUUUCAAUAAAUAAAAGACAAAGUGAGAGUUUAUUAGAGCACUUUCAUCCAUUUGCCAAGACAAAAGGAAAGGGCUGUUACUAUUUACAUGAAUAGUGGCAACUCUUGUAAAAAGUUGUGGUGUUUUCACCCAUUGCCAUGACAACAACUAUUCACAUGAGAUGUGAUGAAAGAAAUUUGUAUAGAGUUUUGGUGUGGAAAGUGAAAAAUAUGACUAAGUAUUUAUUUUUAAAAAAUUCUAAAAUUAUUUGUAGAUUUUUUUCAAUUUUAAAUUUUCUGUUGCUGUUUCUGACGUCAGCAUACCCUGGCUUGAGCUCGAGCUAAUUUUGCCUGAGGGCUGGCUUGGUUUCGUAGGCCCAAGCAGUUGCCCUGAUAGCUUAAGGCCGCUGGAAUCAUGAAAAGGGGCUUGGGCCCCCUAUUGCCCUGGCAAGGACUGUCCGAUGGAAAGGCUCUUAGACACCAAACAAUGGACAUUUCAACAACUGGAUAGUUAGUGAGUCCAUAAGCAAUUCCACACUUUUCUUAAUAGAUACAUAUUUAUAUCAAUACCAUUAUUUCAAAUUUUGAUUACCAAAUAAUAGCGUAAGAUAUGAUAAUUUUUUAUUUGUUGUGAAUAAAUGAGAUCUAAUUCGGAUACACCAACACUAUAUUAGCCCAAAUAUGAAAUAGCAACAACUUUAAGAGGAUAUACUCUGCGAACGCUUGCCCCAGUAGAUUCAGUCAUGUCUAAGUCCUCCCCUCUUGCGCCAUCGGGCAGCGCCCAGUGAACUUGUGCACUAAAUUUGCCAAAGCAAUCUCUUGGACAGCCAUGGCAAACUGAAUUCCUGGGCAAACUCUUCUGCCAGCCCCAAAUGGAAUGUAGUGGAAGUAAUUGCCCUUAUAAUCUAUGGCACUGUCCAAGAACCUUUCUGGCUCGAACACCUCUGGUUUGUUGUAUGACUUGGGAUCUCUUCCAAUUUGCCACGCAUUCACUAUAACUUGUGUGUUGGCUUUAAUGUCGUAGCCAUUUAUUUGUGCAUCUUGGGUCGAUAGCCUGGGCAGUAGCAAUGGAAUUGAAGGAUGUAGGCGAAGAGUCUCCUUGAUAACUGCCUUCAAGUAGUGCAUUUCAACCAAAUCAUCCUCUCUAAUUAUGUCUGUUUUCUUGCCAACUAUUCCCCGGACCUCAUUCUGCAAUUUUUCCAUGAUUCUUGGAUGCCUUAAAAGCUCGAACAUUGUCCACUCUAGGAGUGUAAAUGAGGUGUCAGAGCCACCAACAAACACAUCCUACAAGAAUUUUAAUGGUAAAAAUCGAUUAAAAAUUAAUGGAAAAUUAUAUAUAAAACCCAAAAAAUUGGGGUUAGGAAUAACCCACGUGUUAUUUAUCUAUAUAUCUAUAUAUAAAAAAAAAGGUAAAAGGCUUUAAAAGUGAAACAUUCAAAAACCCUGAAAAUACUCGUGCUUCAAAGAAUUUUUGCUGCUUGGAUUGGAAUAGUGUAGUCUUCUAUCUUUUUAAUUAAGGUGCACUGGUCGUGAAAAUGAUUAUGCUUUGAACUCUUUUUCUGCAUGAAGGGCUAGUGGUUGUUCUCUCAUAGGAGAUUUUGGCACUAGUUAAACUUCAAAAAAAAAAAAAUGAAGAGGUUAAAAGAAUUCAAAAGAAAAAAAAUUGGAGCCAAACUUUUUCCUAAUAUUAAUGGAGUACAUGACUCAUUUGUUUUGUGUGAUCACCAUUUGGUUAAUGAAUUGUGCACAAAAUUUAAUAAGAUACGGAUCCUCUGCUAUGAUUUUAGUCCCCUUAUAGGAUGGAUCGUACUUUGGAGCACAUGUGGUAGUUCCUACUCACACUCACAAAUACAUAUUGGUUGGUCCAUUAAAAUGCAAAUAUCACCUCUCAUAUCAUUAUGCGAACAUUGGGC
rnacentral:lncRNA from 1 species